rnacentral:lncRNA from 1 species
UAGAUAAUUAAUCUAACAUUUAAUCUAAUAAAAUUUAUAGUUUGACAAAAUAUAUAUAUAUAUAUAUAUAUUGUGACACACCCCGUCCCGAAGGAGGGCAUGCUGGCCGUCACGUGAGAGUGACGUAACCAUUUGCACAGUACGGAAGCUUUAAUUAUACAAUUUAUAAGUUGAUACACCCGAAGGUGAGUCCUAAUUUUGUCCAAUCUGUCAGAACCCCGCUGUAUUCCUCGUAGUCACCACACCUUUGUGAUUCCUGAACCUGGAGGGGCGCAAAACCAAAAUUGAGUGGGUCAGUAAAACAAUUCUUUUCCAAAUCCAAACAUUUCUCAAAACGUUGUAACCCCUCUCCGUAAAACCUGUAUACUUUCCCAGAAAUGUAAAAUAUAAAUAUACAUAUAUAUUCUCAAUACUUCAUUUCACUUUUUCAACAUUUUUCAUAUCAGUUAUGCCAUGCCACAUCAUCUCAACAUUUCUCAUAUUAAUUAUGCCAUGCCACAUCAUCUCAACAUUAAUAAGGUAUGAAUGCAUCAACAUAAUCAUAUCAGGUGCAAGAAAGUAAUCAACCGUAGGCCCUCUAAUAGCCCUGUACGGUUGAACCUAGAGCUCAAAAUCUAUCAUUAUCACUCUACCGGAGUCACCUCUGUGACCCGUCCGGCCUUCUGCACGCAAGUUACGCUCUAGUGCUUCUCAUAAAUCAUCUGUGCACAUUAUCUAAGGUCACCCACCAGUCGGAAUCUCACUAACACUCUCGCGACUGGUCUGUCGUACCCACUCCGCGUGGACUGUACGACUAGCAUCUACUUGGAUCCAAGGCGAGCGUGCGAUGCGGUGAAUACUAUAAGCACUAAACCAUGGUGCAGGAUUUGAGCUCAAUAUAUAUCAUCAUCAUCAUAACAGUAAUUAAAUACUCACCUGUGCGUCCACCGCACCAUUUCAUACAUAUGCAUCAUAAAUCAAUUCUUACUUGUGCGUCCACCGCACCAAUUCAUGCAUAUACCGCACCAAUUCAUACAUAUGCAUCAUAAAUCAAUUCUUACUGUGCAUCCACCGCACCAAUUCAUACAUAUGCAUCAUAUAUUAAUUCAUGCAUGGCAUUUCAACUCACAUUUCUAUAUACUUUUCAUAUCAAUUCUAUGCAUGGUAUUUCACUUCCCGUUUUUCCACAUAACUCAUAUGCAUUUCAUUUUAAACAUAUUUUCAUUUCAAUUCAAUUUCUGGGAAACGUCAAGUAUAUAUAUAUAUAUAUACGGAAAACAAAACUGCCCACUCACCUGGAGUUCGCCCUACAACUCCCUAGCACAAUACGCCAAGGCGUCAUGACGAUCGGCGCCUAAAACAAUAAUCAAUUCCAACCUCAGAAUUCAUAUCGAUAAAAUAUAUAACUUAUAUAAAAUACGUCACUACGUAAAUUGAUCCGGAAGAUCCACCCCUCAGAUUUUAAAUCCAUAACUUCCAGAGGUCCACAUUAUACCUCUAGGACAACAUCCUAAAAUUUCAUUACCAUCCAACGGUCGGAUCUCCGUCAAUUUCCAAAAACUAAGUGACGGUUAACAUUUAUAUUAUGGACUUACAAUUCCAAUUCCGGAAGAUCCGCAAAUCGGAUUCCCAAUCUGUAAGUUCCAAUAAUCCUCAAAUAUUACGUAUUGCAACGUAUCAAAGUUUGGUGACGAUCCAACGGUCGGAUCGUCAAUUCACAUUUUCACCUAAAUGUGAAAAUUAUAAAACGUUAUUUGAACACCUAACCAACAAUCCUCAAUAACUUUCUCAUACGGUGUUCAAUUUAGGUAUAUGAAUAUACCACAGUGAUCUACUCGACGUCACGGACGUCGACAUAUUUUUAAAAUAAUUUUAUUUUUAUUUUUUAUUUUUACUGUAGCACCUUCUUCUUCCUUGGGUCGCCGGACUGGUUUUCCGGCGGCCGUUUUCCGGGCAGUUUUUCAAAUUGCCAUAACUUUGUCAUUUCUCAACGAAAUCAAGUGAUUCAAAAACGAAAGUUGUAGCCCUUGAAGAGACAAAGAGAAUGGUGCCUUGCACAACACCUAGUUCGCCGUAUUUUGGCCGGAAAAUGCCUCGAAAGCCUCGGAGGUCGCCGGAAACUGGGUAUUUUUCAAAUGAGUAUAACUUCUUCAAUACUCAACGAAAUUGAGUGAAACAAAAAGGAAAGUUGUAGUACUUGACGAGACGAAGAGAUAGAUACCUACCUCGACUCCUAACUCGCCAGGGAUUCGCCGGAAAAUUCCUCGAAAGCUCCGGCCAAACUUUGAACUUGUCAAUCUCCGUGUUCUUACGUCCAAAAACUUCCAACGAAGCACUCCGAGCUUCCUUGGGACCUCACUAAGCCCGCUGUGAUCUUGUUUUAGCCUAAAACGUAGUCAUUUAGAAGAUCAUGAACAGUACCAUUUCACGGGAACUUUGAAACUAGGGUUUUUCGAAGCAAAACUUACCUGAAAUUGAUGUCUACGUGAUCGUGGAAGUUCCAGGAGUCCAAAUGUGGUCUUAUCUUGGACGUUUGUUUAUGUUUUAGGUGGUUUUGGGUGAGGUUGAGCGUCGGAGAGGAAGAGAGAGAACUGAGAGUGAGAGAGAGUCGUGAGGGAAGAGAGAUAGAGAGACAAGGUACGGGAAUUGGGGAAGGUUUUGAGGGAUGUGGGGAUCCCACGUGUCCAACUCAAUCCAAAUUGUUAAAUUUUCGCCCCUUAGUCCCGUUUAAGGGCAUUUUCAUCUUUUCAUGUCCUCGGAAUUAAAAUUCCGGGACGGGCUGUGACAAUCUUCCCUCCUUAUAGAAGUUCGUCCCCGAAAUUCCAGCAACCAACUAAAUCAACCAUACUCCAACAAUAGCUUCGGGUAAAUCUUUCUCAUCCGAUUCUCUUUCUCCCACAUACUUUUCGACUGAAUGAUUUCCUUCACAAAGCUUUUACUACUUACUCUGUCUUAAUUCUCAGGACCUUCUUUUUCCAAUCCAAAGUCGUCCUUGGUUCCUUAUCAAGUCGAAUCCAAUUUAAUUCUCAAUAGUUGCACCAUAAUUCCAUGAGACGACUCUGUCACUUAGUGACAACGCAUCGAACACAAAAUACAUUAAGUACCGUUGCCCUGUCUGGGAAAAAGUUAUUACUCAGCACUGGAGUAAUUGUACUAACUUGGUACAUUGAUCAACUAUCACUUCAAAUUCGAUCAUAACCAUCCUAUGUACAAGGAAACUUGUACACAUAAUCCAAAGUAAUAUCUUUCCAUUUCCACUGCGAAACAGAAAAUAGUUAUCUCAAUCCAAAGGUUUAUCUCUUUCUGCCUCAAUCUGCUGACCAAAUAAAACUGUCGAAUGGUAUGAUAAAUCUUAUUACUUUUGGAAUAUUGCAGAAGUUGAACAGUGAACUUCGUCCAAUAUUUGCUUGCUUCAAAUCCUCAGCAUUAGGCACAUACUUUUUGUUUUCUUGUAUCCACAUACCAUUUGAUUCACGAAUCAUGUACUCAUUCUUAACUUUACUUUAGUUGGUUUCCAAUCCACAAGAAGAUAACCAUGGCAAGCGUACCAGAUAUUAAUUCUUACUGCAGUCUUCUUAUCAAGUGCUUCAGUUACAACAAUUCACGAUCGCCCUGAUCGUACAAUCAUAAUCACUAAGUAAUUCAAUCCACCCUUGUUGCCUCAUAUCAAAAUCCUUCCAAGUAAUGGAUAUUGAAGACUUUUUGGAUUCGUAAAAAAAAAAUCUUGCAUUCUUAUCAACAUAUAAUGUCUCCAUAACUUCACAGCAAGGAUGAUAAUCGUGACUUCCAAAUCACCAGUAGGGUAAUUCAUCUCAUGAGGUUCCAUUUGUCGUGAAACAUAUACAAUCACCCUAACAUUUGCAUCAACAUGCCUCCAAUACCAUUCAAGAAACAUCACUAAAAAUUUAUGAUUACCACUAUUCUCUGGGAUUACUAAAAUACGUGCAUGAGUGAGGAAAUACUUUAGUUGUUGAAUCCUUUGCUCACAAUUUCCUUCCCACUCAUACAUGACCUCUUUUCUCAACAGUCUCGUCAAUGACAAAGCAAUGACUAAAAAUUCUUUCACAACCAUCCAAAAUAGCCUGGUAAGCUAAGAAAUUCCAAAUCUCAAUUACGACUCGUGGUUGUUCCAAAUUCUCAAUUUCUGCUAUCUUUUAAGGAUUCACUUGAAUACCUUAAGAAUAUAUAACAAAUCUUAGAAUGCCACCUGAUUCAUCUAACUUUAGCAUUUGCUACACUUAGCAUACAAUCGACAUUCUUCCAAUCUUUAUUCCACCGACUUAAUACGUUUACAUGCUCUGCUCUGGCUCAGAAUAUGCCAGAAUAUCUUCAAUGAAAAUGAUAUCUAUUUAUCAAGGCAUUAUUGGAAUACUUCAUCCAAUAACUCAUAAAACAGCAUGAGUAUCCAUAUAGCCUCACCAUAGUUCAUAAAACAAUCUUAAGAACAACGUCGCUCAUAAUCUUUAAUUGGUAAUAACCAUACCUCAAUUCAAUCUUUGAAUCUUCGCAAUUACUUCUGAGCUGGUUAAAUAAACAUCAGUACAUCACCAUGGAUAACGGUUCUCAAUCGUUACCCGACUCCAUUGUCUAUAAUCAAUGAACAGUCUCAAGAUCCAUUUUCUUCCUCACCAACAAACUGGGGCUCCUCAAAAGUGUUGUACUAGGUUGAAUGAAACUUUUAUCAACCAAUUCUUUCAACUGAAUUUCCAAUUCCCUUAACUCAUCUUGAACUAAUCUCCAAUAUAAAUUUAUACCUGGCAACAAAUCAAUAAUGAACCUCAUAUCUCUGCCUGAAGGCAAUCCAGGUAUACUUUCAAGGAAGACAUCAAGAAAAGUCUAACUCUUUCGACAUUAUUCACACUACUCCAAACAACAUCAUUUAGCACCACAUGAGCUAAGUAUUUUUGACAGCCUUUCGAAAACAAUCUCUUUGCUCUCACAGCAUACAUAACAGCCUGACUCAAUCCAUUUUGCAUACUUACAAAAGUAAUCUCUGUUCAUCCAGAUCGAUGGAAAGUACUGGUUUCCCAUAACAUUUCGUCUUGUCACAAUUAUAACCAACCAAUCUAAUGGAACAGAAUUAACUGAUACAAUAUAUAUUUUAUUAUUAUUAAGCAUUCCAAAUAAGUACAUUACUAACAUAAAAUAAUCUACCGGGUUGCUUGCUUAACGAAUCCACGAAUGAGUUAUUAAUAUUACGGUCUGCAGCCCGCAAUACUGAUAAAUCAUCGUUGUCUCGAUAAGUAGGCAACCACUCUCAAAGAUAUAACAUUACUAUUUUGUCACUCAAUGCAAAAUACAUACACUCAUCUCAACUACAUUUAUUUACUACUCUCAAGGUAAUAACAUACAUAAUAAGAAAUAUAUCAGCCGAAGUCAACUAGAAUGACCAAUACGGCUGAUUCAACUCUUAUCUCAAUAAUACGUCGGCCGGAUCCACUCCGCGUGGUCGGGUACGGCCGAGCCUAUAACUCACUAAUUUCUCAUGUGUCAAUCGAAUCCACUUCUCAUGGUCUGUACAGCUGAACAUAUAACUCAUUAAAUCUCUCUGUACUCACGGUCAAUCCGACCAAACUACUAAGUCCAUAACUCUGCUGAAUCGACACUAUGAUAUCAUGGAAAAUUAUUGAGUACAACUGAUUCUAGGGACGAUUCACAAUUCUGUGUCCCCUCUGUUCACAUAAACACAUUCAUUAAUUUCACAUUUCCCAAAGUGUUAAUUUUGUACCUGCUGCACAAGGUACAUUUCCUUUACUCGAGACACCUUGUCUCAAAUAUCUGGGAUUACCAGUAUAUCCAUCACUUUUUACUCUGACCAGCGACAUUAAAACCUCAGCUGGAAGAAUUAACUCUAGCUUCACUUCUUUCGAAGCUCUGAAUCUUUCUAUAUCCUUGAUAUGACGAAUCAUUAACUUUAUCGUCAACUUCCUUGAUUCACAUUUGCAAACUCUUGCUUACUACCAUCGAUAAAUGCCGGAGGGAUAAACUUUUCCUUAAAAAAUUUUAAAUCGGCUGAUUCCUCUGGUGACAACAAUUAACAUUCCUGUUUCCACCAGGAUACAAUUUCAUACCCAAAACCAGGUAGUCGUCUCGACCCACCUGUCAGAAGGAAAUUUCCUUUAACUUGCAUAUUCCGAAACAUCUUUUCCAAUUGGUUAAUCCGUCACUUCGUUCCCUCAGGUUGAUCAUUCCAUAAGGUGAUUCAAAUUCAACUCAUAACCCGUCUUAAAAUGUCCCUUUAGACAAUAGACUGAAUCACCAUAGUAAUAGUUUCCCCCAAAACCGCUAAAUUAGGGAGACUAAGUUCCUCUAACUACGUGGUUUGCUACGAGGCGGUGUAGUUCUGACAGAAUUCACUAGAACUUCUCAAAAUGUCCAAGAUUGCAACCAUGCUCUGAUACCAACUGACACACCCCGUCCCGAAGGAGGGCAUGCUGGCCGUCACGUGAGAGUGAUGUAACCAUUUGCACAGUACGGAAGCUUUAAUUAUACAAUUUAAAGUUGAUACACCCGAAGGUGAGUCCUAAUUUUGUCCAAUCUGUCAGAACCCCGCUGUAUUCCUCGUAGUCACCACACCUUUGUGAUUCCUGAACCUGGAGGGGCGCAAAACCAAAAUUGAGUGGGUCAGUAAAACAAUUCUUUUCCAAAUCCAAACAUUUCUCAAAACGUUGUAACCCCU